AAACAAAUCACUAAAUUGAAUUGAAGACAGCGUGUGAAUUUCUUAUCCUAAAUCAAUUAUAAAUAAUACUUAACUACCCUAUAACUAUUAGUGCUACAAUCAAUCUAUUUACAAGCUUAGUACUAGAUUCUUUCCACCAAGUAGCAGAAACCAACCUAACCCUAAUCUACUUAUGCUGUAAAGUGCACAAUCACGACACGACAGACAGAUUUCGACAAGACAGACUACGACUGACAAACUACGAACGAUCAUAAAGGGGACUAAACGUAAGUUGACUAUGUCCAAACAUACGAUUCAUAAAAUUAUUUAUUUGCAUAAGAUUAACAAAAACUGAUGUGGAACA